AUUCUUCAGUCUCUCUCUUACACAUUAAGAGAGAGAGAACAUUCUUGUAUUGGAAGAUAGUGAAAUUAAAUUACUCAAUUGGGCCUUUGAGAGUCGUCUCUCGUUUCUCUUUUGAAUUGAAGAAAAAAGAAGAAUUAUAUCAUUGAUGCAAGAGUGAAAAAGGAAAGGAUUUAAAAAAAAGGAGAUGGGAGAUGCGCGAGAGUGUGAAUUGGUAACGGCACCGGUAACGGGAGUAGAAUUAGAGAUACUGGCAAGUAUAAAAUCGCAAUGUUAAGGCCGUAGCACGGGCGAGAGAGGUGGCCCUCCUCUCGUACAGACGCGGCGGAGAAUAAUUCAAGUAGGUGGAAACUGGAAGGGUAAGGGCGAGGGUUGCGUGGCGGUGGAAAUUGCGGAUGGCAGGGGUAAAGCUGCAGCACUCCGCUUAGACAAAGCCUAACGAAGCUUCUAUUCAGCAACAGUAGGCAUCACGAGGCCCAACUUCACUUCUAUUAUACUUACUCGUCGGCACGAAGUGAAUUCCAUCCAUCAACGGAAUUCCAGGCUAAGCAGCUCUCUGGCAUCUCUAUCUCUGGCACGAGAGACUUAUCGACAGCCGAAGAUAUGUUGGCGCGAAUCUGUGGCCGGGAUAAGCGCGUCUCCACCGUAAUAAAACUCCCGGAGGGAAGCCAGCGCCGUUAGCUGGAACUUUUCCUUAAAAAGAGAAGGAAGAGGAGGAGGAGGAGGAGGAAGAAGAAUCAAUCCCUUUAUUUGAAAGAUUGGAGAAAGAUUGGAGAAAUUUCAUCUUAUUGACGAGAUGAGAAACAAAGGAUAUACAAUAAGGAGAAUGUGGUAGUGACAAAUGUAAGGGGAUGUUUGUCCUUAAGUGCUUGAAAAGCUGGAGUUGAGUAAUUGAACGCGUGAUCAAUGGGCUUAACUUCUCGAUCGAAUGAGUCUAGACGCAAGAACAGCUAGAAAAUAAGAGAAAAAUAAACGGGGAAUGUUUCUCCAUUGAUCUAUGUAUCAUCUUAUUGUGAAGGUAUAAUGAAAGGAAAGAAGAGAAGAAAUAUGGUAUUGAAGAAAAUAAAAAUAUGGCAUUCUGUUUGUGAUUUUAUCAAUAAAAGGGAAUAGUCAGAAAUUAGAACAAAGAAAGUAAAGAAAAAUUGUAGUAUAAAUAUUGAAGAGGAUAAACAGGAAGAAAAAGGAAAUGGUUUAGAGAGAGAAAUGAAAAGUAAAGGCGGAAAAUGAAAAGCAAAUACAAUAAUGUAACAAGAAGCUAAGAAGAAUAAAGAGAAUAAAUAGACUGGGUAGUUGGGUAUUGAUCCAUGUUAUAAGUUUAAGGCAAUUGGCAAUGAACGAUACAAAAUAUUUAUUAAUUUUAAAUAAUAAUCUCACCUUGUCUGUUUAAAAUUAAAGAGAAUACUAUUUGGAAGUGAUCUGCUAAUUUUUAGAUAUAAUAGAUAAUUCAUGGUUUAUUUUCAAUUAUUUAUGUGAACAAUGUUAUAAUGAACAAUUUCAAGAUUUAUUAAUUUCAAUAUAGA
rnacentral:lncRNA from 1 species